GUAGGCUCAAAAAAGGGGACUUCAGCAGAGUAACAAAAUGACUGGCAUUAUUUCAGCCUAAAUUACAACAGCCAAAUUCAUCCAGGAAAUUUGCUGUCUGAGCAGAGAGUAAAUGGAAAGGAGUAGGAAAAGGAACGCAGGGGCUGCCCUGGAUAAUCGGUGUGCGGUUGCCUGACAGCCCGCUGGAGCCAUCUCUUCUUGAGCCUGAUGAAUUUUCUCCAGUCAGCACUGUGAAACUGUCAAUGAGUAGACACAGAGCCUCAGAAUUGAAGCUUCCUGAGAAGAGAACAUCCUGAAGAUUGUUUGAACUGGAUUACUAUUUUUUUUAAUGCAUGAUGACUCAACCCUGUGUGUUCAUUGCAAACACAAACAGGGUUGAAUUUUAAGGGUGUGCCUGGUUAAACAUCUUGUGCACAGCCUCUGUAUUAAGACUAACACCUGGCUAGAAGCUGCAGUUUAUUUUGUGUGGAGUGUUUAGUUUUCACAUAGAAUAGAAUUGAGGGAAAAAAAGCAGUUAAAUAAGGUAAACGGGUAUUACAUCAGGCAUAUCCUUAUGUGUCAUACAUUUUUAACAUACAGGACAUUAUGGAGACAAUUAGCAAAACUUAAAUGGGGUGUGAAGAUUAGAGGGCAGUAAUGUAUCAUUGUUAAUAUCUUGAUUUUGACGGUUGUAUUGUCGUUAUUUUGGGCACAUACCAUAUACAAAGGUCUAUGGAGUACGGAAAAACAGUACCAGAAUGACUCCAAGUUGCUUACCAUGUAACAGAAAAGCUAUCAGGUGCAUGUAAAACAUGAAGAAAAAUAUAAUGCACACUGUCAUAAGGGCCAAACACAAAACAAAAACUGUAGUUCUCAGCAUUUUCCCCAUCAAUGACCACAUUAAUACUUACUCUUAAA